rnacentral:rRNA from 1 species
AUUGAACGCUGGCGGCAGGCCUAACACAUGCAAGUCGAGCGGUAGAGAGGUGCUUGCACCUCUUGAGAGCGGCGGACGGGUGAGUAAUGCCUAGGAAUCUGCCUGGUAGUGGGGGAUAACGCUCGGAAACGGACGCUAAUACCGCAUACGUCCUACGGGAGAAAGCAGGGGACCUUCGGGCCUUGCGCUAUCAGAUGAGCCUAGGUCGGAUUAGCUAGUUGGUGAGGUAAUGGCUCACCAAGGCGACGAUCCGUAACUGGUCUGAGAGGAUGAUCAGUCACACUGGAACUGAGACACGGUCCAGACUCCUACGGGAGGCAGCAGUGGGGAAUAUUGGACAAUGGGCGAAAGCCUGAUCCAGCCAUGCCGCGUGUAUGAAGAAGGUCCUCGGAUCGUAAAGCACUUUAAGUUGGGAGGAAGGGUCGUUACCUAAUACGUGACGAUUUUGACGUUACCGACAGAAUAAGCACCGGCUAACUCUGUGCCAGCCGCCGCGGUAACAC